GCGAAUAAACAAGUGUUGGUUGUGCUGACCAUUCAUGGUAUGUGCACGCUAACCACUGUUUCAUUCAUUUUCCACCUGUGCACUUCAUGUAGUCCAUGCAUUGCUGAUUUCAGGCCUUUAAGCCUGGUUUAAGGAAGUUGCUUGUUUCACAACAGGCUCUUCUUGGGCAUGUAUGGUCUAUGUUUAUUAUCUACACCAUAUGAAUGUCAUAGAAUGUAUCAGGCCUUGUGCCUUUAAACCAUAAUA
rnacentral:misc_RNA from 1 species